rnacentral:tRNA from 3 species
GUCCUCGUAGCUCAGCUGGAUAGAGCCGCCGCCUCCUAAGCGACAGGUCGCAGGUUCGACUCCUGCCGGGGACGCCA